rnacentral:rRNA from 1 species
UACAGAGGUCUCAAGCGUUGUUCGGAUUCAUUGGGCGUAAAGGGUGCGUAGGUGGCGGGGUAAGUCAGGUGUGAAAUUUCGGAGCUUAACUCCGAAACUGCAUUCGAUACUGCCGUGCUUGAGGACUGGAGAGGAGACUGGAAUUUACGGUGUAGCGGUGAAAUGCGUAGAUAUCGUAAGGAAGACCAGUGGCGAAGGCGGCUCACUGGCCCGAUACUGACGCUGAGGCACGAAAGCGUGGGGAGCGAACAGG